rnacentral:rRNA from 1 species
CAGCCGCCACGGGAAUACGUAGGUGGCAAGCGUUGUCCGGAAUUAUUGGGCGUAAAGCGCGCGCAGGCGGCCUAUCCAGUCUGUCUUAAAAGUUCGGGGCUCAACCCCGUGAUGGGAUGGAAACUAGUAGGCUAGAGUAUCGGAGAGGAAAGCGGAAUUCCUAGUGUAGCAGUGAAAUGCGUAGAUAUUAGGAAGAACACCAGUGGCGAAGGCGGCUUUCUGGACGAAAACUGACGCUGAGGCGCGAAAGCCAGGGGAGCGAACGGGAUUAGAUACCCCAGUAGUCCCUGUCUCUUAUACA